rnacentral:rRNA from 1 species
CCUGGAAAUCCUCGGAGGCGACGCCGAGUCGCGGACGCCGUUGGGGAGCUUGGUGAUGCGGGUGGGGACGACGCCCGGGGGGAGGUCCAGCCCGGGUAGGAGGCGUAGGAGCAAGGUCGAGCACGCCGCGGAGGCCGUAUGGUCGCCGGACAGGCACCGCUCGCCGUAUUGGCUGCUUCCGCCCCUGGACCUCGCGGAGCCCGUGCAGUCGCUGCGCCUCGCCGUAUUGGCUGCUGCUGCACUUUGAUCUCACGGCGCUCGUGCGGGCGCGGCGCCUCGCCGUAUUGGCCACCUCCCUCGCGGCGCUCGUGCGGGCGCGGCUCCCGCGCUGACCUCGCGGCGCUCGUGAGGCGCCUCGCCGAGGAGGGGGCAGCAGGGCAGCUGCAGUGGAGGAGGGGAUGGAAAGGGGAAAGGGAAUAGGCGGAC